CCCUAAUCAUUCUAAUUCCCUCAUACGUUUCACCACCGCUACUUUGCAAAACCCUAGAAAACUCUUCAGAUCUUGAAUCCCAAUCGUAAUCUACUCUUCUUCGAUCGUCGCCACCCAAAAGUUGCCUCUAAAGAUUGUAUUCAUGGUAAGUUUAUGUAUCCGAUUCGAAGUUCUUGACAUUUGAUUUUGAUAUAUUCGUUUUCAACUGUUAGUCAGAAAGCCUACUUGCCAUGGGAGAUUAUGAUCGGAUUUCUGUUCGUGAAGCUCUUGGAGGCGGCGCAGGUAUACCUAUGUUCUCUCUUUUCACCAUUCAUCCAUCCAUAAUCAUUGGAUCUUUUCAUUCAAUUUCAACAGUUUCGAGCUUGAUAAACAAGGAUAAGGUGGAAUCAGUGGUCUCGAGCUUCUUCUCAGGUCCAUCAUCAUGAUUGUUUAACUGGUUAUGAUUUGUGGGUAUUUGAAUUAACAGUUUUUAUGUGGAGGCAUUGACUUUUUGGUAAUUUUAUUCCUGCAGUUAGAAGAACAUCACAUGUAUGUUUUGUAUCAAUCAAACAUAUAGAAUCAAAAAUUUAGAACUGGGAUGUAAUUGUAAAUAAGUUUUCUGGUUUGUAUUCUCUUUUCAGGAGAACUGGGAUCUGAUUAUAAAGCGGUGGGUCACGGGAUGGUGUUCCAUCAUUUCAUUAAAGAUAUAGUGACACCGGUCAUUAGUCUUAAUUUUUAUAAACUAAAAUAGUAGAGGUUGUAAUUUGACCCAGUUUUUACAAGGCUAGGGCCGCUUAGGUUAUUUUUAAUCUAAAACUGGUCAAAUGGGUUAAAGUCUACUAAAAUAUAUCUUUGUUUCAUACAAGCUUUCAAAUUGCUAAAUGAGAGAUUUUGAUUGUUAUUGUAAAUGUGUUUCUCUAAUCACAUUUAUUGCAUCAAUUAUUCAUUAAUUUUUUUCUGGAAAGAUGAAAAAAAGUUAACCUACAUGUUUGAACCCAUUACUCAACCUAUCCACAUAUACAUGAAAUAUGUAUCUGAUGAAAUUGCUUGAAACACAUAUCAGUUUAGUAACCAUGAGAUGGCAGAAGAGAUGAAGAGUUGUUUAGUAUCUGAGUGACUCAUUUGCUUGUCAGGAUCUAGAAACAAAGCAUACGAAAAAUCUGCAUCAUUAUUCUUUUUAUUGGUGUGAUUUGGUUAUUAUGAUUCAGCCUCUUUUGCUAAUGAGAAUCGAGAGACUUAUUUUUUAUGACAAAUUUUGAUUGUUUGAGAUUUACCUAAACUCUUUCGAGUCGAUUUCAAGUUUUUGAUAGUUGGAAGUAGAAGUGCGGCUGGACAUGCAGCUAGGAAUUUCGUCGAACAUGGGAUGACUGACGAAAAACUAUGUAAUGUUUCCGAAGAGGCCUAUGCUCCAUAUUAACUCCCUGCGUUUACGAAAGGUUAUUUAUUUAUUUAUGACAAGAAAUCAGCUCAUUUGCUGAUAAGCCAGUUUGCUUGAUAUGAUAUCAUUGGGGAAGUCGCGAAGGUUAUUUAUUUAUUUUCGAAAAUUUAUGUUUUUGUGAAUUUUUGAGUUGCUAACAAGAUUCAUAUGUAUCCAUUGUUGUUUCCUCUUUGUUUGAAACGACCUUGGUAUCCCGGACCCUCAUCUUUUCAAGUUGCACAAAUCCAGAGACUUGCAAGCGCCAGAUUACUUAAGAUUUUCAGCAGGAGAAACCACUUUGGAAACUUACAUGUUAUGGUCAUAGCAAAUAGUAUGUUUUUCCUAAUUCUCAUUGGCGAUCUGUGAAGGUCGGUCGGGAUGAGUCAACUGCUGGUGAGAGGCAGCCAUGUGUAUCGUUAUGGGAAAUCGAACCGUUGACAACCUUUCUUAUCUUCAAUCACCCGGUGUUUUGGCUAUUGGAAGUAGCAUGAAAGGGCAAAACUCAUAUUCACAUCACUUGAUUCUGAUGUUAGUGUCUCAAUUGUGGAUCGGUUCACGUUUUAUACCUUAGCUUUCUUUGAGAGGCUAAAUAUGUAUGACAAUGCAUCAUUAAGCAGCUCAUUUAACCCAAAUUUGUUGAUGUCAACCACAUAUUAUCGAACAGAUCUAUACCAAGAACAUGUAGAGAAGGUACCUGUGACAAAUUUCUUUGGUUCAGUCAUGAAAAUGAUCCACACAGAUUCUUCUUACUGAGCAACCUAAGGUAAAGACAGCAGCCGGGUCAAAUAUGAUGUGACAUCCGGUCAAUCAGAUGAUGUGGACGCUCGAAGAAUGACAAGUUCAGAUCCCGAGAAACAAGUUGAUCCCCUUCAUAAAGAAAAUGAAACGGGUCAGUUUUUAAGUAAUGGUCAAAAUGUGCUGGGCAUAGGUUAGGUUGACGUGCUAACAUCUUUUUUGGUCAAAGGUGGAGGCUGGCUCAUGCGGAUUGGUGGAAUGCCAUCGUUGAGAAGUUUCAAGUUAUUUGUGUUCUAUGAGGGAAAUUAGCUGCCUUGUGUUGUAAAGGCCUACUAGGGGCUGGGCCAAGGCCCAACAAGUCCUUUGGAGCCCAUAGAGGUAAAUCUCUCCACAAGUGGUAAAUACGCGCUCAACCGGAGUCGAACCCCCAACCUCCACUUGAUCUCCACUCUAGCUCCCCCAAAUUUCACCAAUUGAGCUAGGCUUCAUUGGCAAAUGAUGAUGUUGAUUGGUACAAGAAUUUGAUCUAUAUUGUUGUAGUGAAAAUUUGUUCCUGUAAGGACUCAGAACAGAAAGCAAUUGAUCCCAAAGUGGCUGCAUUGUCAGAUGAUAGUACGAAUCGUGUUUUGGUUGAUGUUAAAGACUUGGAAGAGGAUUUUGUUGUGAAUGCAAACCUUCCGGAUAAUAAGUUUCAUUUGGCAAAAGAAUCAGUUGUUAAUUCGAAUUGUUCAGAAGAUAACAUUGUUCACAAUGUUGUUAGAGAAUUUGACAGUUGGAUGAACAAUUUGAUCUGGUGAAGUUUCCUGAUCUGAUUUCAUGUAAAUCGUUCACUCGCUUAAUAAACUUUUUAUCUGAAACCGCGAUGUAUGCAAUAUGCUGAACAUUAUGAAAAUGACAAAAGAAAUGUGUUUUUAGAAGAGAGCAACAAGGCAAAAUAAGGCGUUGACUGAAACGGUCAACAAGGCGAUCACUACUCCAACUCAUGUAAUUACUCUUAAACGAAAAGAAAAUCUCCAUGCUGACUUUUUGCCUCACGGUUUGACUUCUGCAACCGCGGCUGUGAAAGAUUUGAGUAAACUGAAGAAUCUGCAGCUUCCAACGAAGAAACAUGGUCAAGAAUCGACGAAGGAAGAAAAGAAAGAGCGCUGCAGUGAAGGAGGAAAAACGAGAGGCACGACACGCUAAAAAAAGAAUUUCAAGGAGUUAUACAAGAGUGAGAUGCAAUUUUAUUUUCAAUUAUAACAUUCACUGAACAAGGAUAUACAUUCCUUUUGUUUUACAUAAAUACGGCGUAUUCAUUUCGAGCAUGAAAUAUAUGUAAACUUUAAACACAUUACUUCAAGAUCAAUCUAUCAGAUCAGUAUCAUCAAAGUAAAUAUCAACAACUUCAUCAUCCACCUCCGCGUGAGGUAUUGGACCGCUAUCGGGUGUCCCGCCAGUGUUAGGUGGUCCAAACCAAUCACCAUAAUCGAGUAUCUCAUCAUCAGGUUUGAACAUAAGUGGCUCCGGCUCAAAUGAAAACUCUGGGUCAGGCGCUUGUACGGGCUCGAGUGCCAUGGCUUGGAAGGAGGUGACCAUGAUUAUGAUGAGCAAAGUCAUGCUUAAUGUGUGCAUGAACAACUUUGCAGAGAAAGGGGGGUUGUUGGAAUAUUUCAUUUUGAUAGGCAUAUGAGUUAAGAAAUGAUGUAAUUUGUGAAUUAGUUAAGCAGUGGUCAAUGGUGGAUAAUGUUUCCAUG